AUAAAGAAAUUUAUUUAAAUUUAUUAUUAAAAAAAGUUUAAAAAAAAAAAUUUAUAAUUUAUUAAUAUUAUGAAAAAUUUUUUUUUAUUAUAGAUAAUUAGUAUUGAAAAAUAAUAUUUUUAAAUUUAUUAAAGAAAAUUUUUGUUGUACCUUGUGUAUCAGGGUUUAUUAAAUAAAUUUUAAUAAUUUUAAUUGUCUCGAAUUUAAAAGAUUUAAUUAUUUAUAAAUUUUAUUGUUGAAUAAAUAUUUAUAAUAAAUAAUUGGUAAUGAAAUGUUAUUCGUUUUUAAAUAUAUCUAGUUCUUUAAGAAAAAAGUUUAAUUUUUUUAAUAAUUUUAAAUUUAAUAAAUUUUAUAUUUUUUUUAAAUUAUUAAUUUAUAUAUUAAGGGAUAAGCUUUAAUAUAAAUGAUUAUAAUUAAUAAGUUUUUAUUAAAUUUUGUAGGAUUAAAAAUUUCUAUUUUAAGUUUUUAAUAAAUUAAUUUAAUUUUUUUUAAAAUUUUUAUUUAGUUUAAUUUUUUUAUUAAAGUAUAUUAUUAAUUUUUAAAUUAAUAGUAAUAAUGAUAGAAUUAGUAUAAGUUUAUGUAAAUUUAAAUUUUAUUUUAAUUUAGAUUAUAAGAAUUCGGCAAAUUUGUUUUUCAAAUGUUUAUUAAAAACAUUUCUUUUUGAAAAUAAUUUAAAGUAGGGCCUGCCCACUGAUAAUUUGAAGGGCCGCAGUAUUUUGACUGUGCAAAGGUAGCAUAAUCAUUAGUUUUUUAAUUGAAAGCUUGUAUGAAUGGUUUAAUGAAAAAAUAACUUUUUUUAAUUUAAUAAUUUAAAACUUUAUUUUUAAGUAAAAAAGCUUAAAUAUUUUUAAAAGACGAGAAGACCCUAUAGAGUUUAAUUAUUUUUUAUUUAAUAAUUUUUAGUAUUAAUUAAUUUUAUUUUAAAAAUAAUUUGAUUGGGGUGAUUAAAAAAUUAAAUAAACUUUUUUUUAUUAUUACAUUAAUAUGUGAAUUUGUGAUCCAAUAAGAUUGAUUAAAAGAUUAAAUUACCUUAGGGAUAACAGCGUAAUUUUUUUUUAGAGUUCAAAUUAAAUAAAAAGUUUGCGACCUCGAUGUUGGAUUAAAAUUUAUUUCUGGUGUAGAAGCUAGAAUAUUGGGUCUGUUCGACCUUUGAAAUUUUACAUGAUCUGAGUUUAGACCGGUGUGAGCCAGGUCGGUUUCUAUCUUUAAUAAAAUAAUAUAUUUUAGUACGAAAGGACCAAAUAUAAAUUUUAAAAAUUAAAUUUUGAAUAAUAUU
rnacentral:rRNA from 1 species